UAUUUGAAGUGACAUUGAAUUUUGUUAAUUCCAAGCAAAUGUCUAUUGUUGUAAAACCAUGAAAGUUAUUGGUUCGAAUCCAAUCCAUCUUUGAAGGUGGUAGUUCAAAUGGAAGAACAACAUGGUGUGCAGUAAUUAGUUUCAUACUGCAACAAACAAUAAUCCAAAUCAAUUCAAAAUUUAAAAUUCAUACAGUUAUACCCUUUUUCCGUCUCUUUGUGUGCAAAAUUGCGGUGAACAGAAUAAGCUCCAUUAAUCUACAAAAAAAUCGAAGGUUCAAUUCGAUAUCGGGGUAUUUUAAUUAUUUUUAAUUGCCAUUAAUAAUAAGAACCGCCGUACGCUUUGUUACGCAAUCUUUUGUAACCACAUCAUCAAGUUCUAUCCAUGCCAGUACCGAUAAGUAACGAUAUGGAUGAAAUUCUUAUUUAUCUUUUGCAGCUUUUUUAAAAUGGAAACAAAUCAGAAAUUUAAGCUCUUCGAAUUUUCUAUCGUGAUUAAUCAAAAGUUAAUGGUUGGACAACGAAGAUUUGAACAGUCAGAUUUAAAUAGUAAAGUUGUUGGGUUGGGUUUUGACAAGGUUUAAAAUGUCCUCGUUAUGACUUUUUUGACUUCUAAGGGCUUUGUUUUUACAACAUCCUCACUAUAAAAAACGGACAAUAUAUCGAUAAUGUAGAAUGGAUAUUAUGUCCAUAUGCACUGGAAUGAACGGGCUUCUAAAUAUUGAUAUAUUGACCAUAUGUAUAAAAAAUGGAUAUAAUGAUGAUUUUUUCAGGAGAUCCAAGAAUCCAUAUAAUGUAGAGACCUGGUGACCAUGUCAGGGCGGAGCGCAUCGCUUCUGCGUCUAUCCGCUGCACUGCAGGGCGCUCCGCGGUUUACGGACUACUGCAUCCUUGUUCCCCACCCUCUACCCUGUUUUCAGACAAGGAAAUAUAACACUAAGAUUUAUUUAUUUACGCCAUCAUCGGUAUCUACAAACUUGAGAAGCCGCCACUUACACUAGACAGCAGAGGCUGUAGCCAGGAUACCCAGCUCAACCUUCCACAACAUUUCAUAUUAUAAUUUAUGGCUGGCCUAGUUAUUUAAGCUUUCUUUUAUAGAGAAAGAAAAAAUGAUUAUAAGGGUGGUUUGAAGGGACAACGCUGGGUCUCCUGGCCAAAUUUAUGGCUAGACAGACUGAAAGCCUUUGGAGAUGGCCAGCCAGUUAGGCGUGUACAAGAGUUAUCUCACCUUCUUUUUUGCCUCCAGCGGUGAGUUAAGGGGCCAUUAAUUCAUACUGUAUAUUUUACCGUGGUCACUCACAAACAGAGUUGUUUGCCAUGGUAUAGACAACCGCACCAAACUAAAUUGCUUAAAAAGGAUAACUAUCAUAACACAGGAACUCACAGUAGAGUACUAAACACAAAGUAAAAGGCUAAGAGUAUAAAAUAUCAAUUGUUUAAUAACAAUCUAUGAAGUUUUCUAUAAUGGAGGAUCAUUUGAGACUUAAUUAAUCAGCAUCAGAUAGUUUGUUGGGAAAGGUUGCUGAAUAUUGUUUCAUUAUUUAAAAAAAUGAACGCCGAGCGAAUGUAGAUUGAAGGUGGUUGUAUAUCUAGGUAGCUUGUGAGUGAAGUGCAGAAAAAUUAUAUUUCGAGCUAAAAAUGAUUCCUUCCUGACCAAUAUAGUGAAUUUCAAAAGGAAUAAUUGAAACAAGAACGUGUUGAAAUUUCAAUAAACACAUUGAAAAUGUGUAUGUACUUUUCAUGAAACAAUCGCAUAAUGGUGCCAUGGCGAAAAUUUAUCUCACGAAAUUUAAUUUCACUUUUCGAAAUUCUUCUUCAAUUCAAUUCAAUCUUGCAAAGUUUCUAUGAUUAAAGUAGGUAAGAUAUAUUCUAUCAUCUGAAUAUAUCUUCUCUCUGAAAAAGAUCUAGCAAAAUGGGAAAUUUGCUCCGUGAAAAAUUUAAAAAUAACAACAGCUAGCGAAAAGGACAACGACACCUUAUUUCAUGGGCAGAAGCAAUGCAUAUAAGGACAAACAAGAAACAAAGAAGGCAGAUAAUAAAAGGAGAAUUGAAUUACAUAGUAUGUAAAUCUGUGGAGACUCUGAUAAAAAUUUUAAAUGUUGAAAAUUAUAUUGUAUGGUAGUAAAACUUGAGAGCCAAUACUGUUUAUGUAUAAAAUAGAAGUAGAGGGUUUAAAUUUUACAAUUUUUAAAGUUUUUAAAUUUUACAACGAAUGCUUGAUGCUGAAAUAUUUUGCUCAAUGUGUUUUUAUUUCUAAAUAUAUACAGUAUUAGGAUAUGGUUAUUAGAAUUAGGGAACAUACUAUAUUUUUAUCUCAAAAUAUACAGAUUUUUUUGGCUUGAUAUUCAAAAACAUUUUGUCUGUUGUUUUGAAUUUUGGAUAGUGAAACAAACUCCAAUACAUUUUUGUUGAUACAUGUUGUGUCAUCAUACUUUAUUUUCUACUUUUUCAUAUUUGAAGGAACACAUUCAAUUAGCAUUGGAUUUAUUGGCUACAAUGCCGCCAUCACAAAACAGUUCUCAACUAUGGGUAGACUUCAUGAAGUGUCAUCCCAAUGGAUGGAAAAUACCGGAAUUGAUGGAUUGUCGAUGAAAUUUAAAAGAGUUGUUCUGAUUGAGUUAGAGCUGUUGAAAAGAUGUGAAGAAGAAGUCGGCAUACUCAAAAAAGAAAUGAAUUAAUGUGACGUGACGGGUCUCCAUCUCCUAGACGGAUCUUCAUCGUUUAUGUUCAAAACAGUUUUCUUCUUCUCCUCCUCACUCACUCCACGCAGCAUGUUCUAUUGUUUGUAAUCAAUUUAUAUUAUCAACUUGUGUCAAGUCAUUAAAAUAUGUUUCUGAACUAUAAAGGGAAUAAAGAAAUUGAGUUUGUUCCAAAGUCUUUUAGCCCGCAUUAAUUUCAUUCUACUUCAAUCAAAACUAUUAGCUGUAUACUAUUUCAACUAUUUGUAGAAUAUAUUUUUUUAACAAGUACUUAUUUGCUUCUUAUAAUAAUACAAGAUGUAUAGUAUACGUAAAACUAGCUCACCUCAUACGUGGCACUGUAUUAUAUAUAUUCAUUUGUGGAAAUAAAUUGAAAUCAAUCACAAUGGGCUAUCAAAUAGAAAGUGAAUGUUUCAAAAUAUCAUUCCGGGCAUGCUAUGUAAUAUAUUAAAAAGGAUGGCCACAAGCUUGAUCAUAUUUUUUUUGAAGUAAUCACAUAAAAAACUUUCUAUAUUAACAAAAAGCAAUAUAUAAAGAAGUAGUAAUCUUCUUGUGAAACAUUCUGUGAUGCCGCAGAUGCUAAUGGUUUUGACUUUCGUAGUGCAUGAGCAUAUUUUUUGAAAAAAAUAAUUAUUUGAGGAAACUACAAAGAAAAAUUGAGUUACUGUCAGUACAUUUAUAUACAUUAUGAGAACCAUCAUAAAACCAUUCAAUAAACCUGAAAGUAUAAUUCAUAACUUCAGUCUAUGAAAUACACAAACACAUUUCAUCAAGAAACUACAACUACAAACUACAAUCGUUCAAUAUAUAUUAACAAUUGUUUCACAAAAAAAACGGAUUCUUCUAUAUUCAAAAGCAUAACAGAUUAAUCCUUAACGAAGACGACGUGAUACACGUUUGCCUAAAGUUCAUUCCAGUAUAUGUUAACAAGUUUUAAUGUUGUGAAACAAAAAAAGGUUUCGUUCAACCAAGAGAUAAUCGCUAUAUACAAAAGUAUUCAGGCCUCAAUUCAUCGAAACAAGACAAGUAGAGUUCGUAUAUGUGAUAAUACAUUAGACACAAUUCAUUUCCGGCCAAAAUUAAGCGAAACGAGAGAAAUCUGCAGGGCUUAACUGAUAAUGCCAUAGACAAGUGCCGACUUCGGUGUUAUGAAAGGCCCAAUUCACCAAAACAACGGAACCUGCUAUGUAUGGAUUGCUUCUAGAAACAGGACCAUUUUCCUAAAUUUUUUUUCAACGACCUAGCUCACCGAAACAAUCAAAUCUAUUAUGUACGGAUUCCUUUUAGAAACAGGAUCCUUUUUCUGAAUGUUUACCAAUGGCUCAAUUUACCGAAAUAACCGAAUCUGUGAUGUAUGAAUUGCUUCUAGAAACAGAAGCUUUUUCGUGAAUGCUUAACAAUGGGCCAAUCCACCGAAACAACUGAAUCUGUGAUGUAUGGAUUGCUUCUAGAAACAGGAGCUCUUUCCUGAAUUAUUAUCAAAGGUCUAAUUUGCGGAAAUAACUGUAUCUCUUACUUAUCAGAGGCUCGAUUUACCAACAUAACCGAAUGUGUUAUGUAUGGAUUGCUUUUAAAAUCGGGAAUUCUCACCUGAAUAUUUUGUGAAGGCAAUUUCGCAAAUGUUAGCCAACUUUAUGUGUAUGGAUUGCUCCUGACUUGCCAAUUCUUUCCUAACUUUUUUGUUAAAGCCUUACAGAUGUAAAUUUCUUCCGCCCUUUAAGGAAAUAAAAAUCUGAUAUUAAAGUACCACAUCAAAUGCGGUUGAUUAACAAUUAAUAUUAAAAAUCAAAUAGAAGAAUAAUUUUAACAAAAGAGCUUUGGCUCUUUUGGGAUAAGGCAGUUUAGAAGGGGAUUAAACACAAGACGACGAUAAACAUUUGCGUAGAUAUUUACGCUCCAUCUUAUAAUACAACCACUAUGUAUAUAACACCAAAUGUCAAUAAGAAAACAAAUUAAUCAAGUUCAGAGAGCACAGAAAACGAAUACAAAAAGUUGUAUCCACAAGGUUCCAGCCCUGCUCAGUUUUAUGGUACCGCCAAGGUUCACAAGAUACCACCUAAUUCUACAGUAGCUGACGAUUUACCAUCACGACCCAUCAUAUCGAAUAUCGGAUCUGCUACUUACAACACAUCAAACUACCUCGAGAAAUCUUUAACACCGCUGACAAAGUCAACAUAUACUACUGAAACUCUUUAGAUUUUAUAUUAUCAUUGAAAGGAGAAAAGAUACCUCAUAAUUACAAACUAGUACCUUUUGACGUCACUAGUUUAUUCACCAACGUUCCGUUGGAACAAAAGAUAGACAUAAUAUUGCAAAAGAUAUAUGCUGAAAAAGUUAUAGAAACAAAAAUUAAGCGAGAGGAAAUGAAACAUCUAUUAAUCUCAUGUACAAAACAUGUACAUUUCAGUUUUAACAACCAACUUAUAUUCAGGUAGAUGGUGUAGCAAUGGGCUCGCCUCUAGGACCAGUCCUAGCAUAUCUUCGUGGUUGAGUUGGAGAAUGAAAUAGUCCCAAAAUUAGAAAAUUCAGUAAAAUUUUGGAAGAAAUAUGUAGAUGACACUGUUAAUGAAAACCAGAUAAACAAUGUGCUGAUCACACUUAAUAGUUACCAUUCGAAUAUCCAGUGAACAUAUGAAGUUAAAAACGAUAACUACAUAGCCUUUCUUGAUGUAAAAACACAUCUAUUUAUCGAAAAGACACGAACACUGACAUAUAAAUGCACUAGAAUUCAUCUGCAUCACGCCCAUGGAAAGUUGAAACGGUUAAAUGGUUGGUGUUGAGAGCGUUUAAUAUAUGCUCUUAAUCACAAGAUCUGAAAUACGAACUAAAUCACUUAAAAAAUGUGUUUAUAAAAAACUUAUCCCGAAGCAGUUGUAUCUAAUGUAAUUAAUAACACACAGCGAAAUUUCAACAUUCAAAAUGCCGACACUGUUUUUGAAGAAGACACCAAUGAAUCUCCAAUAACACCUUUCAUGGUUUUUAUUCUGUCAAGUCUGGCUACGGGAAAAUAAAUAAGGUUAAUUUCGUUUAAGAAAAGCGAAUUAGAAAAUAAUGGUAACUGCUUAGUAAAGCGUCUAACACUUUUAAACAGUUUCUAUCAGCCAAUGUCAAGCCACGCAUUGCUGAUCAAUGUAAAAUGUUAUGUUUGCUAUUUUCUGUGAAAUAGAACCAAGGAUGAACACAACAUGGUGUUGUGUACAAAUAUACUUGUCCGGUGGAAUAGUGCGAUGCUAUAUACAUUGGUGAAACAGCCAGGAGGCUUAAUGAAAGAUAGACCACCAAAAACGCCAUAAGAACUCUCACAUCCUAAAACAUUCAGUCAUUGAGAAUUACCAACUUGGUGAACAAAAGAACUUCAGUAUUUUGAUAGAUAAUGUUCACCACUUUAAAAAGAAAAAAAUAGCUGAGGCCAUGUAUAUUUGUGAUAAGAGUCCCACGCUUAAUGUACAGGGAUUAUCUGUUCCAUUAAAAUUGUUUUAAGAUAAAUAUUAUUUAUAGUCAACAAGGGGAGGAGUGCAUUUGUGCACCGCGCGGUGGACGUUACCCUCACCAACGGUAUAUAGUUUAUAUACCUUUGGGUAUGCCGUUAUGUGUUAUAUGUUUCGUUAAGUAUUGUUUUAUACGUCCUCUGUGUAUUGCGUAGUUGUUGAAAAUUAUAUUUAAAAAACUUUUGAGAUAAUUGUAACAAUUUACGUUGAUAAUUGUCUUGUAGUAACAAGACGAAAUAUCCGUUAAAAUAAAAUAAAAAAUGUCAUCAUCAAUCAAACUUCUCGUAUUUAUUUUCAUUGUGAAGUUAUAUACCGAAUUAAUAUAUAAGACUAAUUAAGCAAGAACAUAUUUGUUAAUAUCGAUCUGCUUGUGCUAAGGCACUUGCCAUUGUAUAACUGGAUGUCAGUUGAGCUUGCUGCAAUUUUUGGUUAUAUAAAUUGGCAAAACAGUAACAGCUAGUGGAUUUCAAUAAUCAGUUUCUUCACUAAAAAACAAUUAAUCUUUAAGAAUCUUGUUAUUAGAUCACAGAAAUGUUACACGAAGAAACUUU